UACGUAGGCGCAAGCGUUGUCCGGAAUUAUUGGGCGUAAAGAGCUCGUAGGCGGCUUGUCACGUCGGGUGUGAAAGCCCGGGGCUUAAACCCCGGGUCUGCAUUCGAUACGGGCUAGCUAGAGUGUGGUAGGGGAGAUCGGAAUUCCUGGUGUAGCGGUGAAAUGCGCAGAUAUCAGGAGGAACACCAGUGGCGAAGGCGGUGCUCUGGGCCGGAACUGACGCUGAGGAGCGAAAGCGUGGUAGCAAACAGG
rnacentral:rRNA from 1 species